rnacentral:tRNA from 1 species
GCCCUGGUAGCUCAGUGGUAGAUGGUGAGUUCUGUAUAUCGUGAGCGAAAGCGCCCAGCAAUAACUAUCAUAAGGUCGCAGGUUCGAAUCCUGCCCGGUGGCU